rnacentral:rRNA from 1 species
AUUGAACGCUGGCGGCAUGCCUUACACAUGCAAGUCGAACGGUAACGGGCCUUCGGGUGCCGACGAGUGGCGAACGGGUGAGUAAUGUAUCGGAACGUACCUUUCAGUGGGGGAUAACGUAGCGAAAUUUACGCUAAUACCGCAUAUUCUGUGAGCAGGAAAGCAGGGGGAUCGCAAGACCUUGCGCUGAUUGAGCGGCCGAUAUCAGAUUAGCUAGUUGGUGAGGUAAAGGCUCACCAAGGCGACGAUCUGUAGCGGGUCUGAGAGGAUGAUCCGCCACACUGGAACUGAGACACGGUCCAGACUCCUACGGGAGGCAGCAGUGGGGAAUCUUCCGCAAUGGACGCAAGUCUGACGGAGCGACGCCGCGUGCGGGAUGAAGGUCUUUGGAUUGUAAACCGCUGUCACGCGUUAAGAACUCGCAGGGCCCAACACGCCCUGCGUUGACGAAGGCGCGAGAGGAAGCCACGGCUAACUCUGUGCCAGCAG